rnacentral:rRNA from 1 species
GUUUGAUCCUGGCUCAGGAUGAACGCUGGCGGCGUGCCUAAUACAUGCAAGUCGAGCGAACUGAUUAGAAGCUUGCUUCUAUGACGUUAGCGGCGGACGGGUGAGUAACACGUGGGCAACCUGCCUGUAAGACUGGGAUAACUUCGGGAAACCGAAGCUAAUACCGGAUAGGAUCUUCUCCUUCAUGGGAGAUGAUUGAAAGAUGGUUUCGGCUAUCACUUACAGAUGGGCCCGCGGUGCAUUAGCUAGUUGGUGAGGUAAUGGCUCACCAAGGCAACGAUGCAUAGCCGACCUGAGAGGGUGAUCGGCCACACUGGGACUGAGACACGGCCCAGACUCCUACGGGAGGCAGCAGUAGGGAAUCUUCCGCAAUGGACGAAAGUCUGACGGAGCAACGCCGCGUGAGUGAUGAAGGCUUUCGGGUCGUAAAACUCUGUUGUUAGGGAAGAACAAGUACAAGAGUAACUGCUUGUACCUUGACGGUACCUAACCAGAAAGCCACGGCUAACUACGUGCCAGCAGCCGCGGUAAUACGUAGGUGGCAAGCGUUAUCCGGAAUUAUUGGGCGUAAAGCGCGCGCAGGCGGUUUCUUAAGUCUGAUGUGAAAGCCCACGGCUCAACCGUGGAGGGUCAUUGGAAACUGGGGAACUUGAGU